rnacentral:tRNA from 1 species
GGGGCCAUAGCUCAGCUGGGAGAGCGCCUGCCUUGCAAGCAGGAGGUCAUGUUCGAUCCCGCUUGGCUCCACCA